GCGCCUGUAGCUCAGCGGUAGAGCAGCCGGCGGAAGACCGGCAGGCCGCAGGCUCGAAACCUGUCGGGCGCG
rnacentral:tRNA from 1 species